AGUCUACACGUGCUUGAACUGCACGUUGGGAAGGUACUGUAGAAAGGGGUAGGUGAGGAACAAAGAUCCAUUUGAAUCUCCUCUGCUAGGGGUCUAUCAUAAUGGGUUUUUUUAAAGUUAUAAAGGACAAAUCAUAUUUUAAGAGAUAUCAAGUCAAGUACAG